GCUGUUAAUUAGUUUUUUUUUUUUUUUAUCAGUUAUGUACAUUUGUGUUUUGAGGUUACAUCUUCUGUUGUUUAAUGAAUGCUUAUUGCAUUAUUAAGUGUCAUUUGUGUUACCAUGAUUGUGUUUUGUGUUUACGUGCAUGACUUUCUGCACCUUCUGUAUACUGUAUUAAUAUACUUCAGCUUGUUUGUUCUGUAAAUGUGUUUUCAGUUUUUCUGCAUUUUUUAUAGUGUACGUAAAAGUAAAGUAACAGAGACCUCAUUUGUAUGGUAAAAAUGGACAUGUCUCAAAUAGGACACUUGAUGUGGACGUGUGAUCUUGUGGCCUUCACUGUUAUGUAUCUGUCCACAAGAUCACCGUUCACUUGUCACAUUUUUCUCACGGUUCAAAAAUCUCAUGGUUCAAAAGGUCAGAUCUACAGAGCCCCCUAUGCAGUCUCAAUGUGUCCUCAAUACGUCCAUUGUGAAAUUAUGUUGCAAAAUUGUGGAUUUGAUACAGUAAUUUACAAAGUAAUUUGCUGUAGUUUACUGAUUAUGUCUAAGGGUUACAAAGGACAUCAUCUGCAUGCAAAAAAAAAAAAGUCUCAAAUAGGACAGUUGAUGUGGACGUGCAGGCUUGUGGUGUUCACUUCUGUGUAUCUAUCCUCAAGAUCACAGGCUGUGACAUUUUUAUCUUAUGGUUAAAAGGUGCUCAAUAGCGCCUAUUCAGCUGCAUUUCACCCUAAAUAAACCUCUUCGUUAGGGCUGAGGGUGCCAUUUGGGACAAGCUCAGUUCGUACCUAGUCCAACAAAACCAAAUGAGAUAAAACAGCCAUAAACUUUGCCAUUUCAAGAUGUCUGUUUUAGAGGAAGCAGAUGUGUUGGUGGAUGGAACUUAGAGGCCCAAAGCUACGUAAUAAGCAGCUCCCCCGCAGAUGUGGGAGGAUGCUGGAGCAAAUAAGAGUGUUUAGCAAUGAGCCCAAUAAAAGUGUGGCAAUAAUCAUAAUCAUAACAGCAGGGCCUUUGGAGAGCAGAGAAUAGAAGAUAUUAUAGAGUGCUUAUCACAAAGGGUCUGGCAGAUACAGAGCGGACUCAGACGCACAAGUAAGAGACCCUCACUUUUUCCUCCACUGGAUUUUUUUCCAUUCACUUGCCUUCCUAAUGUCUGUACUCAGUGGAAAAUUUUCAGUAAGCAUUUAAUAUCUACCCCCUCACCUCUCGAUCAAUCUGAGCAGACAUCCACAAACAAAUCAUAUCUACAUGGAAUGAUUUUGACUAGAGAGGAAAAAAUAAACUGAUAAAUCAAUCAAUUUGCUAAAUAACCAUAUGAAUCAAAUUCUUCUUAAGAAACAUGAUACGCAAUAUAAUGAACAGAUUUAAUUUAGGCUUUCAUUCACAUAUCCCUAGAGCAGAUGGUUAGUGGAAACUCAAACAUGUUUGCCUCAUGCACAAACCAAUUUGUUCAGUUUGUUCUCGUGCAUCAAGUAAGUACAGUUGGGCUUUUAUUAUAAAAUCUUCACUUGUGUUCUGAAGAUGAAUGGAAGUCUAACAGGUUUGGAAUAACAUGAGGGUGAGUACAUUUUCAUUUAUGGGCGAACUAUUAGGGGGUGGGGGAAAAAUCGAUACAACAUAGUAUCACGAUAUUUUCCGCAGCAAUACUGUAUCGAUACACGGACGAUUUAACAGUAAUUAACUUUCAAAUGCCCCAGUUGCUGAAGGGUCUGCACGGUCGUCAGUAAAGCCGGUUCUGUGAUUAGUAGUAAAUCUCUAUCACUUGCUUUCAGAUGGAGCAGCAUUUACUACACAGGGUUCGUAGUUCACUGACAAGCUACGCAAAAUCGCGUUUAAAAAUCACAACAUAUUUCAUAGUAUUCUAAGCAGUGAUAAAGGCUAUGUCGAUUAGCAUUGCAUUAUUAUAAACUUUAUUAUAAUAAAAAUUAUAAUAAGGAGAACUCGGAUAAACUAUAUAUUGUCGUAGUCGUCUGUUUAUUAGUCACGCUGAAUCAAUGAAAGCAGUUAAAUCCUCUGUUUAUUCAGCUGCAGCGACAGGCAUUUCCUGGAUUUCUUCUUUGGGCAUAUUUGGAGUUUCAGCGCAAGAGCGCCCUCUGGCGAUUUAGUACUGAUCACAGAACCGUGCUUCUCCAAAAGAUACAGAUAACAAUCGAAGCUUCUAAUCGCGAUUUAUCACCUUUGCGAUUUAAUUUAGAAUAAUCGUGCAGCCCUAGUCUGCACACCUUUUUUGCAUUGUUUAAAAUACCUGUAGUAGCACAGCAGUGCAUACCGGUUUACAUUUAAUUAAGGUGGACUAGAUUAGACUGUAAUACAAAAUUGAGUUUGCCAGGUGCAUAUAACAUUUAUGACAGGUUUUCAUGAAAGUGUUUGUCAAUUUGUCUGCUUGGCAAUCCCAUUUUGCACUGCAGCAAUAAAAUUUAAGUGAGUUAAACAAAUAGAGAAACGUUUAUUUUUAGUUAAAACAGAUGUUGCCAAAGUUUUCCUUUGGGGACAUAAUUUGAAGUUGGAAAAAGGUAAUAAAUUACAAUAUAUUGCAGAAUAUCGCAAUAUAUUUAAAAUCACAAUAAUACUGCUUCAUGACACAAGUAUCCGGAUAAUAUUGUAUCGUGAGGUCUCUUGUGAUUCCCACCCCUACAAACUAUUCCUGUCAACGAGAACCAGAGAAAAAAAUUAGAUUAAAGUUUUGUCUAAAGAAAAGGAUGUAGAGAGUUAUAAAGAGAGGGGCUCAAGCACAAACUCUCCUGGUUGUAAAAAUCAUGGAAUUUCAGAAUCAGACAGAAACAAUUCCAGUCAUUUAGAGAAGGCACAAACACAGUCGUCCCGCCAUUCCAAAACUGCACUAAGGUGAGAAGCAAAUUACCUUGGCUAGGCAUGAGCUAAAAACCCAGCUCUCCAGGGUGAGCUCACAUACUCCACAUCACACAUUGGCAGUGCUGGGAAUUGGGAGUGUUGAUUAGUCCCACAUAGCACAGGUUCUGUGAAACACCAUCUGCGAUGUUGUAAUGCAUCUGUAAUGCAUGCUCUAAACUGAACAAUACAACAUGGUUUACAAAGGAGAGAUUCAACAUCAUACACGUUCAUAGAGAAAUUAGUUCAUCCUUCUAUACCUCAUAUAAAGAAGGCGAACAGAUGAUUAAUUUCACUGUAAACACAUCUCUUUUCCACUGAAAUGGUGCCACUGAAGAAAAAGUGGCUCUUAAACUGGCAUCAAAUAAACCUAAAGUACAGUAAUUAAGAGAGCUUAAUUCUAAUAUUACUCCUUACAAUAAAGCCAGGAUUUAAUGUUUCAUUCUACUGGGAUUGGAAUCCUCUCAUUCAGUCUGCUUAACCUCUUCCUUGCAUUAAUUUGCCCUUUAUUUUUGAAUGUAACACCCUCAUCUCAAAAUCCAAUCAACUAGCUACGACAUCAGCAAAAGCACCAUUGCAGUGGAAAACAUAAUACAGCUGGAGCCUCCUUCAAUCUCAGUGUCACUAAUGGAACUGCUGCUGAAUUGCAGACAGAGUUGUUAAACUGAGCAAAGCCAGGCCUCAGAAGAGCGGAGUGGUUGAGAUGAUCACAUUUUGAGAGAUAAAAAGAAAGGCAUGACCAGUGUGAAGCCCAGAGUGUGAGUCUGGACCUGAUUUCACAGGCCGCUGCACUAACCGCUGUCUGAUGGUGUUGCGGGGGCCCGUCCGGCCUGAUUGAGUUACAAAGAAACUACGGGCUCUGAUAGGAGACAGCUGCACGUCUCCGUACAAACCCAGCACAGAGGCUAGCAUUACUGCAGGGGGGUGAUGGGAAACUGAUCACACCAUGUCAUUUAACACACCAGCUGAGUGGUGUUGCGG
rnacentral:lncRNA from 1 species